rnacentral:lncRNA from 1 species
AUUCCCGUCUUAUUUUCCACUUUUCCAGUUUUAUCUCGAAAUGAAUAACAGAAAAUUUCAUAUCGCCCCAGCUAUGUACUUACAUAUGUACAUAUGUAUGUACAUAUCGACGGUGAUUCCGAUCCGAUUCGGUCUCGUGUACUUUUUUGCUAAACAAACCCCCGUUCGCACCUUAUCAGCAUCGCAUCGCUUGGAGCUGACGGCAUGACGGAGGGCGCUAUAUAAGAUCGGUAGAUUGACUGGAAAAAGCAUCAGACGUUCAGUUAACUCCAAAGACAACAUAUAAUCAGCGCAUCUCGCUUUCUAUAACGCAAGAAAUAUACUUAGAAAAUUUCAUCAUGAACUUCUACAAGAUCUUCUUCGUCGUUGCCAUCAUCCUGGCCAUCGGGAUGGGGCAGUCGGAGGCCGGUUGGCUAAAGAAAAUUGGCAAGAAAAUAGUAAGACGUUUGCAUAAUAUACAAAUUUUUCAAAAUCUAAACCAUAACAUUAUUGACAGGAACGCGUUGGCCAGCACACUAGGGAUGCCACCAUCCAGGGACUGGGCAUUGCUCAACAAGCAGCCAAUGUGGCAGCCACAGCUAAAGGCUGAGGUCUCCUAAUUACAAAUAAUUGUAUUAAUAUUAUUAAAAUGUAUUUCAUAACCUGAGUAAAGUUACACAUUUAACAUUGAAGCAAUCCAUUUAAUGCUUCCUAAUCCUCGAGUUCAAUAUUUCUUCAUACAUUCUAUAUGUUUUAAUGGCCAUAUCUAUCUGCGUGUUUUCUUUGUACAUUAAUGUGCCUUAUACGUUCCGAGAUAGUUUUACUUGCCUGUUACGUAGACAUCCUACUAAAAUAUUCGUCUGAAAGAAAAAGUUAACGAACUCGUCGAAUAACCUAUUUUCAGAUGUCAUAUUUAGUAAGUUUUCCAGUUUUCCAGUUUUUACAUCAAAUGAGGGAUGAAGAGAGACUGUUCAGACCAGCAGUUUAACUUCAAAAUAAUUGAUAUAUUUUCAUAAACCUAAUUCUCUGACAUAAGUAAAUAAAAUGCAUUUAAUUGAAACUCACUAAUAUGAUACCUAAAAUCAAUGGCAGAAUUAUGGUUUCAACAAGAACAACAUCCGAAUGAAAAAAUAGAGAAUAAAUAGAGCAACAUACAUAUGUAUGAUGAUUCCAUUAAUGAACGCAAUUGGUCAUAGUACAUAUGUAAAUGCAUAGUAUACCCAAGUAGAGCGCUUCACGAGUGAUCAGUGGAACAGGGGAACGUGCAGUUCAUUAAUGCGCUCUCACUUGUGGCUUUUUUUUAUCAGCGCGUCUCUGCUUUAUCAAUAUCAGUUAUGGUGCCCUGGGCCCGCUCUGGUGAUUCCCAGUCGCGACUGAGGCAAAAAGUUCCCCCUACUGCAAAUUGCUUCCCUUUCAGUUAAGCACGGGCAAGAUAUUCAAACAUUUACAUAGCCGUCCAUUGUCUCCAGGUAGCCUGACAAUCAUCUUUAUGACGAAUAAGUGGAGGAUGAUAACCAACGCCUAAGUCAAUGUCUUCGUCAUCAGUGAUGCUUCCUUAACGUACAUGUAGGUAAGCAUUUUUUGUUUUUCGUUCUUCCUUCUGCUAUGUAUUCGAUCUUUCCCAUUAAUUUGUUAAGCUCAAGUCGAGAAUAGUCUCCAAGUUUUGUUUUACAACUGAAGUUCACUGGGCUUUUGGGAUCGCUCUUAGGCUUGAGUAUAUCCAGGAACCAGUUGCGGUAUUUACCCACUUACUUACGCUGCUGUGGACUUAAGCAACUUGUCUAAGGACAAGCAGUGGCAGUUAUGACACAGAACUCUGUUUCGCUAUCCCACUCCUUUUGUGUCUCCUCCUUGUGGCAAGUCUCCUGCCACUUGUAGCUGUCACUCAGCGGUUAAUUCGAGCGAUUUUAUUUACAUUUUGUGCGGCAACAGGACCGGAAAGGAGCAUCAGAAGCAGCAGUAGCAGAGUCUGUUAUGUGGCAUAAGAGUGUAAGGCAAAGUCAAGGCCCAAGAUGAAUAAAGCGUUUUUACUUGUUAAGGAAAUUAGUGGCAUAUCCUGACAAGGCGCAUAUCAUCCUACCCUCUCCAUAUCUGACUUGCUGUGUUUGUGUUUGUGUGAGUGUGUUGUGUUGUGUUUGAGCCUCCCCUACUGAUUUAAUUCAUUUGUUGUCUUUGCUUCGAGUCUAUUGUCUGCCCCCUCAUAAUUUUUUCUUGCAGUUGUUGUUGUUGGUUUUUUAUGGUUGAAAUUAAAGUUACAUUUGUGGUGGUUGAUAUGUGAACAAAGGUCCGCCCGGCACGCCCGAGCCAGGGACAUCUCCUCGCAUAGACCACGUACAGUUGUGUGUGAGGUCUCUGUGUGAAUUCCCGCUCUUCCCGGUGUACGAGUAUCAAUCCAAUAAAGCUCGUAUCAGCAUCUGGCCAAACACCACGCUAUGAUAUUUUCUGUUCUGAUCGGGGAUUCACAGUAAGUAUCCAUCGAAUCUGGUCGUUGUCUUUCUUGUCUAGCAGAGAAAUUCCCCGGAACAGUCGUUUCAGGCAAAUCAGCAGUCACCCAACGCAUACAAAAAUAGCCACAUCAGCAGCAUUUGCUGUCUACAAUCACAAAAACACUCCAAGAUUCUCAUCAUGAAUUCAACGAGAUCUUCAUCUUUGUUGCUCUGAACCUGGCCAUCAGCGUGGGACAAUCGGAAGCCGGCUGGCUGGAGAAACUAUGAAAAAGACUUGUGAGGUAAGACGCAGGUCAAUAAUUCAUUAGAAUCUCUACGGAUGCUCGUAUUAUUCUAUUUAGGAACGCGUUGGCCAGCAC